CCUCUCUGUAGUAUGGCAGAGUUAAGUUUCUGCUUUCCCUUGGUCUGAUGAUUUUGCCUUUUUGUGGUGGGGUCCCAGCUAAUGCUGCAAAGCUUUCAGUGUUUCUGAAACUCUCAGCCGCCUAUUCUCUGCAACCUCACACCAUAAGUGGCACUACAAAAUGCUGCCUUCUGGAUUUCAGAGGGCCUUCAGAAUUGCUGAGCUACAAGUCCUCUGCACUUCAAUGCUGUCCAAGUCAAGAAUUUGGAAGUGCCUCCAGUGAUACUGGUCAUAAACAGG